GACGAACGCUGGCGGCGUGCUUAACACAUGCAAGUCGAACGGUAAGGCCCUUCGGGGUACACGAGUGGCGAACGGGUGAGUAACACGUGGGUGAUCUGCCCUGCACUUCGGGAUAAGCCUGGGAAACUGGGUCUAAUACCGGAUAGGACCACUGCCUGCAUGGGUGGUGGUGGAAAGCUUUUGCGGUGUGGGAUGGGCCCGCGGGCUAUCAGCUUGUUGGUGGGGUGAUGGCCUACCAAGGCGACGACGGGUAGCCGGCCUGAGAGGGUGACCGGCCACACUGGGACUGAGAUACGGCCCAGACUCCUACGGGAGGCAGCAGUGGGGGAUAUUGCACAAUGGGCGCAAGCCGGAUGCAGCGACGCCGCGUGAGGGAUGACGGCCUUCGGGUUGUAAACCUCUUUCAGCACCGACGAAGCGCAAGUGACGGUAGGUGCAGAAGAAGGACCGGCCAACUACGUGCCAGCCGCCGCAGUAA
rnacentral:rRNA from 1 species